GCCUACGGGGGGCAGCAGUGGGGAAUAUUGCGCAAUGGGCGAAAGCCUGACGCAGCGACGCCGCGUGAGGGAUGAAGGUCUUCGGAUCGUAAACCUCUGUCAGCAGGGAAGAACGGUCACUGUGCUAAUCAGCAGUGAAUUGACGGUACCUGCAAAGGAAGCACCGGCUAACUCCGUGCCAGCAGCCGCGGUAAUACGGAGGGUGCGAGCGUUAAUCGGAAUUACUGGGCGUAAAGCGCUCAUAGGCGGUAUGUCAAGGCAAGGGUGAAAUCCCCGCGCCCAACGUGGGAACUGCCUUUGAAACU
rnacentral:rRNA from 1 species